rnacentral:misc_RNA from 1 species
AACUUUUGGCAACGGAUCACUUGGUUCUGGCAUCGAUGAAGAACGCAGCGAAAUGCGAUAAGUAAUGUGAAUUGCAGGAUUCAGUGAAUCAUCGAAUCUUUGAACGCACAUUGCGCCCUCUGGUAUUCCGGGGGGCAUGCCUGUUCGAGCGUCAUUAUAACCCUCAAGCGUAGCUUGGUAUUGGGCCUUCGUCCACUGGACGGGUCUGAAAAUCAGUGGCGAUGCCUUUGGGGCACUAAGCGUAGUAAAACUUCUUCGUUUAGGUGGUCCGUGGUGCGUCUGCCAGCAAACUUCUACUUCUCUAUAGUUGACCUCGGAUCAGGUAGGGAUACCCGCUGAACUUAAGCAUAUCAAUAAGCGGAGGCU